GAUGAACGCUAGCGACAGGCCUAACACAUGCAAGUCGAGGGGCAGCAUAAAGGUAGCAAUACUUUGGUGGCGACCGGCGCACGGGUGAGUAACACGUAUGCAACCUGCCUGUAAGAGGGGAAUAACCCGGAGAAAUCCGGACUAAUACCGCAUAAUACUGUGAAACUGCAUGGUUUUACAGUUAAACAUUUAUGGCUUACAGAUGGGCAUGCGUAUGAUUAGCUAGUUGGUGAGGUAACGGCUCACCAAGGCAACGAUCAUUAGGGGUUCUGAGAGGAAGGUCCCCCACACUGGUACUGAGACACGGACCAGACUCCUACGGGAGGCAGCAGUGAGGAAUAUUGGUCAAUGGGCGAGAGCCUGAACCAGCCAAGUCGCGUGAAGGAAGAAGGUUCUAUGGAUUGUAAACUUCUUUUGUAAGGGAAUAAAAGUAGUACGUGUACUAUAUUGUAUGUACUUUACGAAUAAGGAUCGGCUAACUCCGUGCCAGCAGCCGCGGUAAAACGU
rnacentral:rRNA from 1 species